rnacentral:rRNA from 1 species
CAGAGGGUGCGAGCGUUGUCCGGAAUCACUGGGCGUAAAGGGCGCGUAGGCGGCUUUUCAAGCGUGUGGUGAAAGCUCGGGGCUUAACUCCGAGUCUGCCGUGCGAACUGGGAGGCUUGAGUCUGGUAGAGGUCGAUGGAAUUCCGGGUGUAGCGGUGGAAUGCGUAGAGAUCCGGAAGAACACCGGUGGCGAGGGCGGUCGACUGGGCCAGUACUGACGCUGAGGCGCGACAGCGUGGGGAGCAAACAGGAUUAGAUACCCUGGUAGUCCACGCCGUAAACGAUGGGCACUAGGUCCUUGGGGGAGCGACCCCUUGAGGGCCGGCGCUAACGCAUUAAGUGCCCCGCCUGGGGAGUACGCCGCAAGGCUG